UGAUAUUAGAGUCACACCAACUUGCAUAU
rnacentral:piRNA from 1 species